GGUAAAAUGGCUGAUAAAAAGUGGUAAAUUGUAAAUUUAUUUAUGAAUGAGAUUCUUUUACUUG
rnacentral:tRNA from 1 species